AUUGAACGCUAGCGGGAUGCUUUACACAUGCAAGUCGAACGAGUGGCGGACGGGUGAGUAAUAUCUCGGAAAGUGCCUCGUAGAGGGGGAUAACUACUCGCAAGAGUGGCUAAUCACGCAUACUAUCGGAGAGGCCGAUAUCGGAUUAGCUAGUAGGUGGGGUAAAGGCUCCACAAGGCAACAAUCCGUAGCUGGGUUGAGAGGACGACCAGCCACAAUGGUACUGUGACACGGCCCAGACUCCUACUGGAGGCAGCAGUGGGGAAUUUUGGACAAUGGGAGAAACCCUGAUCCAGCCAUGCCGCGUGUAUGAGAAGGCCUUCGGGUUGUAAAGUACUUUUGGCAGAGAAGCGGUAUCGGCAGAAUAAGCACCGGCUAACUCCGUGCCAGCAGCCGCGGUAAUUC
rnacentral:rRNA from 1 species